UUUGCAUUAUAUGUUGGACUUAUGUCUGUCUGUCUUUCAACUCCUUCCCCCUCUGCUUAAAGUUAAUCUCUAACCAAAAUGGAACUAAACAAUUUGUACAAAUUUCUGCCCACGCGACAAAAGUUGCGUCUAAACCAGAUUCCCAGACUCUAAAAACAUUCUACCAACAAAUUCGUUGGCCAAAUUAAAAACUUGUCAUUUCGAUUAGCUUAUAUAGAAGUAUGUUUUUUCAACAUUGAGAACUGGUUUUACUUAACAUUAGUGAGAACUUUGGGCGGUUCCAGAAAUUGCCGCUAGCUCUUAAAUCACACGCAACAAAAGGAAACAGAUGAAGUGAAGGAAUACUUAAGAAGGCCCUUAAAGGCAAAAGGGACGGCGACGACAGUUGCCAAAAGGAUGUGAGUGUGGAGCAAAGCGUGCGCGUCUGUUGUAUAUUUUCUUUCAUAUUAUUUUAUGAGCGCGGCAACAGGAAACUGACCAACAUCAAAACCCGAAACUGAAUACCGAGCCAAACUCAUCUGCAGGCUUCAAGCUCUUUUUCGUUUUCAAUACCCUGUAUCCAUAAAUAUAAAA